UACGUAGGGUGCGAGCGUUAAUCGGAAUUACUGGGCGUAAAGCGUGCGCAGGCGGUUCGUUGUGUCGGCGGUGAAAGCCCCGGGCUUAACCUGGGAAUGGCCGUUGAAACUGGCGAACUGGAGUGUGGCAGAGGGGGGUGGAAUUCCGCGUGUAGCAGUGAAAUGCGCAGAUAUCAGGAGGAACACCGGUGGCGAAGGCGGGUCUCUGGGCCGAUACUGACGCUGAGGAGCGAAAGCGUGGGGAGCGAACAGG
rnacentral:rRNA from 1 species